AAGCAGUGCCUGUUGUACAAAAAGAAAAAAGAAAUUAUUGAGAAAUAAAUAAUAAUCAUAAUACAAAUUAAGAAAUGUGUACUAAAGUUUGUGUGGUUUUUACAUCUUUAUUUGAAAAUCCAGUGUUUAUGAAAGUCUGAUUGCCUGGCUUAUCAGUGUUGUUAUAUAGAAAUUGUGUAGCUGCUGCUGCUACGUCCUACGUCCCCAACACAACCACUUGUUUGUAAAAUACAUGCAUAUAUAAUAUUACAUAUAUAUGUACCUAAUUAUGUUCUACAACGUCAAUCGAGAAUCAAUGAGAUAAUCCACAUUGCAGUUUCAAAAGCAAAAUUUGCCGUUUUUAAAUUAUUUUUGUCAUGAAUAUUCGUUACUGCUCGUAGUCGCCAAAGUCUUUAGAUUUUCAAAAAAUUGUCGUUAAUUUUACUUUGUAUUGGAUGUUGUAUGAUUAUAAAUAUUUAUUAUCAGUGUUGUGAGUGUUUUCUUUUUUAAAUAAACUCUCUCUCUUACAUUGCUCACUUAAGACUGUAAGAAGAAGAGGCAUAAGAAUAUGCAAGAAGAAGCAGAAUUAUGAAAGUGUAAAACAUAACGAAGAAGUUCUUGAAAAGCAACAACAACACCAUUGAGUUAAAGAAAGUGUAAAAAAAAAGUUUUUCAAAAAUUAUCUGCCACAGUCAGUUCAAUCACAUUUUUUUUUUUUUACCAAAAAUAUAUCAAAAUUUGAUUACACAUACACAUACACACAGGUCAAUAAGGCAGGCUUGACUUGGAAUAUUUACAAUAUUUGGUUUCACUCUCUUGCUGUGGAUUAUUUAUAAUUACAAGUCCAGUCCCAAAUAUUGUAUUAAAAAUAAAUAAAAUCUUAGAAUAUUUCGAACGCAUCCAUUGAUAGCUUUGCACAGAGAGCAGCCAAAGCAUUGGCCACAACAAUUUUCCCAAAAAAAAAAAUUGAAGGGAAAAAACUCGCUCUAGCACGUGAUAUAUGAUGAUUGCUCAUACCAUAGAAAUGUCGUGGAGCCAACAUACCCAUUGACAUAUG